AGUGAACGCUGGCGGUAGGCCUAACACAUGCAAGUCGAACGGCAGCACAGUAAGAGCUUGCUCUUACGGGUGGCGAGUGGCGGACGGGUGAGGAAUACAUCGGAAUCUACUUUUUCGUGGGGGAUAACGUAGGGAAACUUACGCUAAUACCGCAUACGACCUACGGGUGAAAGCAGUGGAUCUUCGGAACUUGCGCGAUUGAAUGAGCCGAUGUCGGAUUAGCUAGUUGGCGGGGUAAAGGCCCACCAAGGCGACGAUCCGUAGCUGGUCUGAGAGGAUGAUCAGCCACACUGGAACUGAGACACGGUCCAGACUCCUACGGGAGGCAGCAGUGGGGAAUAUUGGACAAUGGGCGCAAGCCUGAUCCAGCCAUACCGCGUGGGUGAAGAAGGCCUUCGGGUUGUAAAGCCCUUUUGUUGGGAAAGAAAAGCAGCAGGUUAAUACCCCGCUGUUCUGACGGUACCCAAAGAAUAAGCACCGGCUAACUUCGUG
rnacentral:rRNA from 1 species